AGGAUGAUUCUGGGGGGUUGUGUUAAAGGGAUAUUUCGGCUGGAAUAUGCUGGAAUAUCCCUUUAAUGCAACCCCCCAGAAUCAUCCU